rnacentral:snRNA from 1 species
GUGCUAGCUUCAGCAGCAUAUAUACUAAAAUUGGAACAAUACAGAGAUUAGCAUGGCCCCUGCUCAAGGAUGACAUGAAAAUUCAUGAAGCAUCCCAUGUUUUA